rnacentral:rRNA from 1 species
UACGUAGGGCGCAAGCGUUAUCCGGAAUUAUUGGGCGUAAAGAGCUCGUAGGCGGUUUGUCGCGUCUGCCGUGAAAACCCGGGGCUCAACUCCGGGCCUGCAGCCGAUACGGGCAGACUAGAGUUCGGCAGGGGAGACUGGAAUUCCUGGUGUAGCGGUGAAAUGCGCAGAUAUCAGGAGGAACACCGGUGGCGAAGGCGGGUCUCUGGGCCGAUACUGACGCUGAGGAGCGAAAGCGUGGGGAGCGAACAGG